AAUGAACGCUGGCGGCAGGCCUAACACAUGCAAGUCGAACGGAUCCUUCGGGAUUAGUGGCGGACGGGUGAGUAACGCGUGGGAACAUACCCUUUGGUACGGAAUAGCCUCAGGAAACUGGGAGUAAUACCGUAUGUGGUCGAGAGACGAAAGAUUUAUCGCCAAAGGAUUGGCCCGCGUUGGAUUAGGUAGUUGGGGGGGUAAUGGCCUACCAAGCCGACGAUCCAUAGCUGGUUUGAGAGGAUGAUCAGCCACACUGGGACUGAGACACGGCCCAGACUCCUACGGGAGGCAGCAGUGGGGAAUCUUAGACAAUGGGGGAAACCCUGAUCUAGCCAUGCCGCGUGAUCGAUGAAGGCCUUAGGGUUGUAAAGAUCUUUCAGGUGGGAAGAUAAUGACUGUACCACCAGAAGAAGCCCCGGCUAACUCCGUGCCAGCAGCCGCGGUAA
rnacentral:rRNA from 1 species